rnacentral:rRNA from 1 species
GUGUCAGCAGCCGCGGUAAUACGUAGGGGGCAAGCGUUGUCCGGAAUUAUUGGGCGUAAAGAGCGCGUAGGCGGUCCGAUAAGUCGUCUGUGAAAGUCUAGGGCUCAACCCUGGAAAGCCGGACGAUACUGUCGGACUAGAGUCCGGAAGAGGCAAGUGGAAUUCCCGGUGUAGCGGUGAAAUGCGCAGAUAUCGGGAGGAACACCAAUGGCGAAGGCAGCUUGCUGGGACGGUACUGACGCUGAGGCGCGAAAGCGUGGGGAGCAAACAGGAUUAGAUACCCUCGUAGUCC